UACGUAGGGUGCAAGCGUUGUCCGGAAUUAUUGGGCGUAAAGAGCGUGUAGGCGGCUUGACAAGUCUGCUGUGAAAGUCCAGGGCUCAACCCUGGAAAGCCGGUGGAUACUGUCGAGCUAGAGUCCGGAAGGGGCGAGUGGAAUUCCUGGUGUAGCGGUGAAAUGCGCAGAUAUCAGGAGGAACACCAAUGGCGAAGGCAGCUCGCUGGGACGUGACUGACGCUGAGACGCGAAAGCGUGGGGAGCAAACAGG
rnacentral:rRNA from 1 species